UACGUAGGUGGCAAGCGUUGUCCGGAUUUACUGGGCGUAAAGAGCGCGCAGGCGGUCGGAUAAGUCGAAUGUGAAAGCCCCUGGCUCAACCAGGGAGGGUCAUUCGAUACUGUUCGACUCGAAGGCAGGAGAGGGAAGUGGAAUUCCGGGUGUAGAGGUGAAAUUCGUAGAGAUCUGGAAGAACACCAAAGGCGAAGGCAGCAUUCUGGGAAGUAGCUGACGCUCAUGUGCGAAAGCUAGGGGAGCGAACGGG
rnacentral:rRNA from 1 species